UACGGAGGGUGCGAGCGUUAUUCGGAAUUACUGGGCGUAAAGCGCGUGUAGGCGGCAGGGCAAGUCUGGUGUGAAAGCCCGGGGCUCAACCCCGGAAGUGCAUUGGAAACUGCUCUGCUUGAGUACCGGAGAGGAAGGGGGAAUUCCCGGUGUAGCGGUGAAAUGCGUAGAUAUCGGGAGGAAUACCAGUGGCGAAGGCGCCCUUCUGGACGGUUACUGACGCUGAGAUGCGAAAGCGUGGGGAGCGAACGGG
rnacentral:rRNA from 1 species